CUCUCUCUUUCUCUCUCAAGUCGAUGCCUUCCCUCUUAUUUUUCUCUGUUUCAUGCAUUUCCUACUUUGAAUUUUCCAGGUGGUGCUGAUGUGAUUUUCCCACACUGAUCUCCCUCAUUAGACGCUCACUGUCUUCCGUUUUUCUCUUGUUCCCUCACAUUUGCGUAGUGUAGAACCACAGUGCCGAGUUGUUGACGCCGAGCCUUGUCGAACGAAGUUCUUGGUACUGCGAUUUUUGGGUGAAAAAUUCAGACUUGUCGCCUAGAGUCCCUCAUGUUAGUGACGAGACUGAUAGAUGUCGUUUUCAAGGCAUAGAUAAUACGCUGUAGGAUUCAGAUGAUGUGAAGAGUCCAACUGAGGACCUGGAUUAGGAAUUGUGAGCAUGACUAAGCUAAGGAGAGGAUGUCGAGUACCCUAGGGUACUACCGUUAAAAGAAGGAUUUCUGAUAUCUUUUAGAUUUAAUUAUGUUUUUGGUUUAGUAGGAUUUCUGGAUUUAUUAGUUUGGUAUGAUAUGACUACCGGGAGAUUGUGAACCCCUUGAUUUAUUAUUAUUGCAGUAAUGACUUUGUGAAGUUUAUAAUGUGUUUAUUUAGAAGAUAUGAGAUUGAUUUAUGCUUAUGAAGUCUUUGGAGAAUUUAGAUGUGUCGAGAGACAU